UGAGACUUCGUAUGCAUAUUCAGUUUUUACUGCAUAAGCAAUUGUUCAAACACAACUGUACAUAUUUUCUUCAGGAUCAGUGUAUUAUUUUUUAAAUUCACAAGUCAUUCACAAGCCCUGAGACUCUAGCAAUCUCUCAAACGCACACAUCACGUUACUGUUUUAUCUUGUAAAAUGACACAAAACUGAUUAAAAUAGCUCUUACAAAGACAUUCCCAUACUACACAUACACACCUCCACCUGCAGCAAAUAAGACAAGAUUCAACGAGGGCACCCAAACAGAUUACUGGUAGAUAGCAGAAAAGCCCAUUUGUAACUCUAACGGCAUGCUCGUUUAGAGACGAUCACGGCUAAGCGAGUUAAUUAAGUCUGAUUGUCCUUCACCUAAUCUCUCCACUUCCAGCAACGUCAACUAACAAUAGUGAAAUAUCGUAAUCUGCGGCUGUGGAUUUGUCUGACGGCAGAAAGUAAUUACGAUGAGCAUCACAUGGCAGGCGUGGGCCACAGAAAAAAUGGCUGACAGUUUAAGACUCUCUAAUGCUCUGGCACAGAGGCCAGCCAGGAGACAGCAUGGAGGGUGCAAAGAUAAAGCUGUGGGUUUAUCGGAGUGCUCUCAGGGGAACGACGGAGGACGUUCAGGAAUUUAACGUCAGUCUGAGGGAGGCUCUCACCAUCAAGUAGGGCGAGUUGCCAUGGAGAUUGCCUGCCUGCCCCGCCCCUGGGAGGGGCCGAUUGGAUGGGACCUGAUGAGACACGAGUCAACAACUGUCAAUCAAACACAGAAACUGUCAGUCAAUCGCAUUAACUACCAAGCAGCAUACUGUUGUUAUGUGUUUUGGGAUAUACAGAUACUCAGUUAAUGUGGUUUGUAUUUACUCACCAGUGUACACUAUAGCACUGCUUUUAUGGACACACAUAGACAUGUAAUCUAAAAAGGCUUAAUGAGGGAUUCACUCUAAUGUAAUAUUAUAUGUUAUAAUUUAAUAUAAUGUUUUAUAACUAUUGGAUCGUUGUGCAACAUAUUUAAAAGCACACGUGUAUGAUUUACAGUACAAACUGAUGCACAGCCCUUCUCCACUCCUUCCCUGCACUUCUGCUGUAUGGCCACCAGGUGUCUGUCCUGCCACUGGUCUGUAAGGUGAGGCCGAGGCGUCAGUUUUAGGAUUGGGUUCACAAGGUCAGUCACAAUGCAGUAAUCAUGCCCUGUCCACAGGAAACCCUAUUAGACUGUAUCAGCACCUGAGCUGUAUCACCUGAGCUCCUCUCUCAAGAGUUUUUGGGCACUUCUAGAGUUCUGAUUGUCUGAGAACACCAGCGUUGAGUUUAGAGGGGUUCAACAGUUCCUCAAGAGGGGUCACCUGACUUACAGUGUUAAGAAGGGGUCACACAUGGGUCAAAGGUAAGGUCACAUUUGACUUGGUGACAGUGAUUCUUUAUUAUUAAAAAAAAAAAUACAAAAAUACAAAUUUAUUUUAAUAAUUUUUAUACAUUUAUUAUAUAAA